GACGAACGCUGGCGGCGUGCUUAACACAUGCAAGUCGAACGGAAAGGCCCUGCUUUUGUGGUGUGCUCGAGUGGCGAAGGGGUGAGUAACACGAGUGCAACCUGCUCUAGUUUUUGGUAUAACUUCAGGAAACUGGGGCUAAUAUCGGAUAGGAUCCGCUGUUGCAUUGUGGGGGUUGGAAAUUCUCGGCGGUUGGGGUUGGACUCGCGGGUUAUCAGCUUGUUGGUGGGGUAGUGGCUUACCAAGGCUUGGGCGGGUCGCCGGCCUGAGAGGGUGGCCGGCCACAUUGGGACUGAGGUAGGGCCCAGACUCCAACGGGGGGCAGCGGUGGGAAGUAUGGCACAGUGGGCGGAAGCCUGUUGCGGCAACGCCGGGGGCGGAAUGCCGGCCUUCGGGUUGUAAACCGCUUUCGCCUGUGACGAAGCUUGUGUGACGGUAAUGGGUAAAGAAGCACCGGCUAACUACGUG
rnacentral:rRNA from 1 species